rnacentral:rRNA from 1 species
CAGCAGCCGCGGUAAUACCGGCGGCCCGAGUGGCGGUCACUAUUAUUGGGGUUAAAGCGUCCGUAGCCGGGUUGGGGAGUCCUCCGGGAAAUCUGGCCGCUUAACGGUCCGAAUGCCGGAGGAUACUCCCAGCCUAGGGAGCGGGAGAGGCCGAGGGGAUUCCCGGGGUAGGGGUGAAAUCCUAUAAUCCCGGGAGGGCCACCUGUGGGGAAGGCGCUCGGCUGGAACGCGUCCGACGGUGAGGGACGAAGGCCAGGGGAGCAAACCGGAUUAGAUACCCGGGUAGUCCUGGCUGUAAACGAUGCGGACUUUGUGUCGGACAAGCUAUGAGCUUGUCCGGUGCCGGAGGGAAACCGUUAAGUCCGCCGCCUGGGGAGUACGGCCGCAAGGCUGAAAUUUAAAGGAAUUGGCGGG